CCUACGGGAGGCAGCAGUGGGGAAUAUUGGGCAAUGGAGGAAACUCUGACCCAGCGACGCCGCGUGCGGGAUGAAGGCCUUCGGGUUGUAAACCGCUUUCAGUAGGGAAGAAGCGAAAGUGACGGUACCUACAAAAGAAGCACCGGCUAACUAUGUUCCAGCAGCCGCGGUAAUACAUAGGGUGCAAGCGUUGUCCGGAAUUAUUGGGCGUAAAGAGCUCGUAGGUCGUUUGUUACGUCGGAUGUGAAAACCUGAGGCUCAACCUCAGGCCUGCAUUCGAUACGGGCAAACUAGAGUUUGGUAGGGGAGACUGGAAUUCCUGGUGUAGCGGUGGAAUGCGCAGAUAUCAGGAGGAACACCAAUGGCGAAGGCAGGUCUCUGGGCCAAUACUGACACUGAGGAGCGAAAGUCUGGGGAGCGAACAGGAUUACGAUACCCUGGUAGUCCAGACCGUAAACGGUGGGCACUAGUUGUGGGAACCUUCCACGGUUUCUGCGACGUAGCUAACGCAUUAAGUGCCCCGCCUGGGGAGUACGAUCGCGAGAGUAAACGUACGAAGAAGUAGACGGCGUGUAGACGUUGCGACGGACGACGACGAGGGAGGAGG
rnacentral:rRNA from 1 species